UUUGGAUUAAUUGCAACAAAGUUUAUUAAGUGCCAAACAAAACUUGAAUUAACGUCGUCGCCAGAACUUUGGAUUAAGUCAAGAACCAGAUUAUCAAUUAUCAGCUAUUCAAGAAUCAACCAAACUCCAGUCUCUGAAAGAAUCACUUCCGGUGUGCUAUCUCUCACUCCCUCCAUCCAGAAUCUAAUCGCUCUGUUAUGCAACCGCUCGCGUAACCUAGUUAGGUUUCCGUGUCAACCAAGACGCGGUGAUGUCAUCCUGACAAGGCAUCGAGGAGGUGCCGACUCUUCGGUCACACUAUUAUGCUAUUUAUUGACAAUAGUGUUUAUGUGUAUUAUUUGCAUGAAAAAUCGUGAUAGAUGAUAAAGAAGCUUAAAGAAUAACGAGUACAGGAGAAGUCGGUCAAGGACAAAGAUCUCUGUAAACAGAGUGUAAACAAACACGAAUUUCGAACGGAUC